GUCCACGCCCUAAACGAUGUCGACUGGUUGUUGGGUGGGUAACCACUUAGUAACGAAGCUAACGCGUGAAGUCGACCGCCUGGGGAGUACGGUCGCAAGAUUAAAACUACAAAGGAAUUGACGGGGACCCGGCACAAAGCGGUGGAUGAUGUGGUUUAAUUUCGAUGCAACGCGAAAAACCUUAACCUACACUUGACAUGUCAGAAAUACCUGCAGAGAUGUGGGAGGUGCCGCAAGGAAUCUGAACACAGGUGCUGCAUGGCUGUAGU
rnacentral:rRNA from 1 species